AGGCGCGGGCGCCCGCGCGGUCCGAGCGCCCGGGGCAGCCAUGGCCCACGUCUGGGAGAAGGAUCACCUCUGGCUCUACUUGCUGGCCCUCGGCUUCGACCCGAACAAAUGCCCCGAGGACGUGAACGUGGGACGGCACAUGUUUGAUAAACCAAACCCCAAAGCGUUUGCUGUCGUUGCCCUCUUCUUGUUUACUAAGCUGGAUAAGGACCGUGCACAAGAAACUUUUCGGAAUUAUGUGUUGGGAGUGGAAACCAGUCUUCAAUUUAGGAAGCAGUGCUGUAACUGGCUAGGAGAAAUAUCACCUCCAGGGAAAAGCUGUCUUCCAAAGAUUACACCUUCAUCACUGCUUUCUCCUACUGGUCCUAAAUUUGUUCACUUAGUCUACUGGUUUGCAAGAUAUGUAAUGAUUGAGGACAUGAAAAAGUUCUCUGUAGGCACUUGUAUACCUUUUGCUGAAGCUGUAAGGUUGAGACCUGAGGACAUGGACAUUGCAAAAGCAAGACAUAGAGUUGGAUACAAUAAACUGCUGCAAAUUCUUCAAAAGGAAGACAUUGUUAUUCAAGAAUAUGGGAAAAAAGCACAGGUUUUAGUUAAAGAAAUAGAAGAGACAGAGUCUGAAUAUGCAGUUAUGCAGAUACAGUCUUUGAGGAUGAAACAAAAUGACCAAAACAAAAGUGACACAGUUGAGAGAAUUGAAAAGGUCCGCAGUAUGUGGACACUUAUAAUGGAAAUGCUUACAUCUCUGAAAAAGGAUAAGGAAGUUGUGGAUUCUAUACUUGAAAAUUGUGCGCAUCAGUGUAUUUUAGAUGGAACUGAUGUUGUUUUGAGAGUUCCAGGGUUGCUGGCUCACAGAAUUGAAAAUGAUGAAACUUUUACAGAAAAUGUAUAUGAAGAUGGAAAAUUGAAGUUCUUAGCAGUCAUGCACGUGUUAAAUGAAACCUUGAGGAUGUUGAGAGAUGAACACUGUCAGUCUGAAUUAAAAGAACUUCACAGGAUUGAGAACAUGGUUAAAUCUUGCAAUAAAUUAUUACAGAAUUUGAACACAAAGAGGCUAGAAAGAGAGCAUCAACAUUGUGUUUCAGUGUGUGAAUCUAUUUUUAGAAAAGAGGAAGACUGGGAAAUGAAGUGGAAAACACUUCUUGGCCAUCAUCCUUUUAAUUCAAUCUUUAAAGAGGAUCUAGAACCUAGUUCAACAGCUUCACCACCCCAGUCUCCUAGUCUUCCAGAAGAAGAUAAAGACAGUGACCUUCAUCAAUAUCUAGCAUCAAUUUCAGGUAUUUUUGACUCUCUUAAUAAAGAACCUUGUGAGAAAGAUGAGGGAGCUUUGGAAACCAUGAUGGAUAAGUCAUCAUCACCACCAAAAUGGAUCUCUUCAGUGCUGUUGAAGCUGUUGGAAGCACCUGAAAACAGAGACCUGUUGAUCAAAAAUAAUUUGCAUAUGGAAACUUGUGGGGGAAAUAAAAAACCUGUGCCUCCGCAAAUCCUAAAAAAUGGAAAGGAAGAGUUCCUCAUUUCAGAAAUGCAAGAGAAUUCAGGUCAAGAUGUUACCCUGCCAAAGACUCCUGUGGAAAAAGAAGACCUUCUUGAGAAAGCCAGAGAUGAACUGGCAGAAGAGAUUGCAAAGACUGUGAUGUCUGAGUCACCUGACAGUGAUGAAGAUAAAGGAAUGUCAUUAGAUGAUCUCAUUAGCUCACUGUGUUUUAACCCAUUUAUAACAAGGAAAGAAAUUCCGCGAACUCCGGAAAAUCUGCAUAAGAAGAGUUGAAUAAGAAGCUGGGCACAAAGGAACCGUCAUCAGGAUACAAUUUGUAAAGCAGAAGCAUAACUAUAGUAGCACAAUUAUGGUUCACUUGACCAAGGACCUGGGAUUGCUGAAAGCUGGUCAUACCAGUAAAGACCAGGGCUGAGACUGAGAUUCAGAGGUCACACCCUCCCUCUCCAAUGUAAUUUAAGUGCUUGGGAAGAAUGAACAGCCAGUUCUUGCAAAUCAAAGCUGUCGAUCUUGAAGAAAGAUGCAAACCAUUGGUGUGAGCCGAGAAUAAUUUCCUGGGGCUUGACAGCUGUGUUGGUUUUCAUUUUAGGCAGAUUUUCUGCAAUAGGAGGAACAAUCUCUGUAAGGUCAGGCAGUGGUGAAGCUUAUAUUUGAGUGCACCAGAAGGUCUGUAUUUCCUAUUCUCUAAGGAAAGGAGUGGCUGUACUGCAUAUGAAUACUGUAUUAUUUUUUUCAGCCUUGUAAAGCAUUCUGGAAAUUAUGCCUCUGACAUUUUUGUUGCUUGGUCUGUCAGAGGAAUUUUCAGACCUGUAUGUUUUAUCCCUAGUAAUGUUCAAUGCUCUGUUGACUUAUGGCAGCACUGCCUUCUGAGUAAUCUUACUGCGAGCAUGUUCAUGUAAAUGUUUGAAAUGGUGGCACUCUAAAUAAUAGUUUUUCAUUUUAGUCAACUUCAGUUCAUCAAAAGCUAGUUAUGGUUGGAUUAAAUGGUUUAAGGGACUGCAAAUUGCCAUCAUCUUUCUGCUGGAUAUUCCAGGCAUCAAAACUAAAACCGCAGUGCAUUUAAGAUAAUUUUCUCCUCUGUAUUCCUUAUCCUUACCUUGGAUAAGUUGGCUGAAGAAUUUCCUGCUCGUCAUUGCAAAUACUUGAAGUGGUAACUUGGGCAUGUGAAUCCUAUAUCUCCCCUUAUAAUUAUCAUGUGCUGGUUUCUCAUGUCCCAGGAUAUAUCACUUUAUGAGGAACAUUUCCCAGCUGCAUAUGCUUUGGGCAAAGAGUAGGCAAGUGUGAAGAGUAGCUGGUAGGAGAAAUGAGUGGAGUGGCAUCUGUUUAUAACAUAACUUGGGUUUGCCUAUUCAGUAGCAAAUUCUGCCUUUCCUGACUUUACUGUUGUUUUUGUCUCUCCUAUUUACAGUGCAUACACAUAGAUGGCUUCUGAAGUGUAUUUUAUUGUUGUUGGAUUGGUGUAUUUUUCCAAGUAAAAUAAUAAUUACUACUUAAUGCUGAAGACAUUUUAUCCUUCUGACAGUCACUGUCCAGAUUAUUGCACAUAUGGUGAAGGGUCACUUCAAGAGGAUUUAUGAAGAGGAUCCUUAAUCCCUGUGAGAUCACUAACCUGCUUGUUUCUCUCUUAAGUAAUUACUGCACCAGUAAUAUCACAUUGCCUUCCUGUGGAAUAAAAUUCAAAGAUAAGGGGAACAAUUGUAUUUGUGAUUGUUUAAUGUCCUAACUUUUCACCAGAAGAUGGCAGCAGGCUGAUGUUAGUCACAAAUAUUUCAACUGCUUACUGUUGGAUAAACGUGGAGGUAGUGGGCUAAACACUUGGAACUGAAUUUACCAUAGUUUGCGGCGAGAAACCUGGCAUUGCAAAGCAUUGCAUGUCAAGCUGUUUUGUGGGUUUGUAUGUCUGGCUGGCUGCUGGCCUGCAAGUCCCCUGCAAGUCCUGGACGUUGUCCUUCAGUGAUGUCCUUUCACCCGACAUUUUUUCAAGGGCAUUUGUUUUGGAAGAAAAAUCAAAGCAGGUAGAGCUGUUGCUUAAAGAAGUUUGAAUUAUUACAUAUUGCAUUUCAGUU